UCCAUAGUAACAAUGCAGAUUGGGGGUUGCCAGGGGCAAGAAGGAGGGGAAGAACAGAAACUGCUGAGUGCGUGUAGAAUUUUAUUUUCUGGUGACGGACGUGUUUGGGAGCUAGAUUGAAGUGUGGUUGCAUGAUAUUGUGGAUGUGUUAAAUGCCACUGAAUUUUUCACUUUCAGAUGUUUAAUCUUAUGUGAAUAUCACCUGAAUGAAAUGUUUAAAAUUCUCAUACACACAUGCAUGUCAUUGCACCAAAAAUCUUGAAAUGCAUAAAUGUCAUCAUACUAUAUAUACUGUGAUGGUUAAUUUUACGUGUCAACUUGACUGGGCUAAGCAAUGCCCAGACAGCUGGUAAACCAAUUUCUGGGUGUGUCUGUGAGGGUGUCUCUGGAAGAGAUGAGCAUUCGAAUUGGUGGACUGAGUAGAGAGGAUGGCCCUCCCAAAGGCAGGUGGCGUCAUCCAGUCCACUGAGGGCCUGAAUAGAACAAAAAGGCAGGAAAAGUGAGACUUUGCUCUGCUUGAGCUAGGAGGCCCAUCUUCUCCCACCCUUGGACAUUGAUGCUCCCGGUUCUCUGGCCUUCAGACUUGGCCUGAAUUACGCCAGCAUCUUUCCUAGGUCUACAGGUUGCGGACAGCAGAUCGUGGCCCCAACUUCCAUAAUGCCAUGAGCCGAUUCCUGCUGUUAAUAAGUCGUGCUGACGGACAUACCCACACCGCCUCUUGCAGACCCACUUGGGAUCAGUGACGUGCAUUUGUAGGACGGCUGAAGUCGAAGUGCAGUUUGUAACUGUGUUAGGAGCAAAGUUAACUGGUCCACAUGGGGACUGAACCCCAAACCAAGGCCUCAUUCCAGCUGUGCCUGAGCCGUGGAGACAGCCGGUACCCAGACAAUUAGCUUUGCAGGAAGAGUCUCUCUUCAAGUGGGUCCUUACUGAGCAAAACCACCUUUUGAAGCAAAUAAAACAAGGUCAUACUGGUUUUCUUCCUUGAAAUGGAGUCGUUUUCCUCAGCGUCCUCCAAUAUAAGAUUUAAUAAUGAGCUAGUUUCAGAGGUUCAUCACACGGUGGUAAAAAGCAAGCAAUCAUCCGUAUUUUCUUCAUUCAGCUUGCCGACAGCUGCAGCUACUUUCAGUUGUCUACAGGCAAGGGCGAGGGCAGGGACGACGCUCUUCUUACGUGUACGGAGCAUAUCUGCCAGAGAAGGAUGUUUACACAACAGCCAUUGUGACCGCUCUGCGAAUGAAUGCCUGCUCUUCCUUGAGUGGUCUUCCCUAAUGAAGACGGACCCUGCCCUGGUGCCAGAUUAAAGACACCUGCCAGGAGUUACAAAUCAGAAUGCUCCAGUCUGAGGGAUGGCAACAGCUCGGCAAGGGGUCAGAGCCAGGUGCCUGGAGCGUCUGCAGGACACGGGAGCUGCCCUCAGGGUCCUCCGAGGUGAGUGGGCACUUAGGUUCGUGGCUUUACCACAGCCCAUGCCCCCGUCCCGAGCCGUCCACGGGG